ACUUCUUCAUUUUCUUUUUGUCUUUUUCACGUUGUCUUAAGGUCAUCAACGACCUCUUUUAUUCGUGCAGGGUUGCUAUUUGCCAAGCUUCUUUUCGACUUUUACGCCGUUCGAAGAUACCUGAUUGUCAUUCCGUCAACGGCUGUAGGUUCGCUAGGGAUCAUUCGGGUCCGGGGUCCCUCCCAAGGUUUGAAUUCAAGGAUCCGAGCCUCUGUCACCCUCGGGCGCUGUUUGUUUUCCAAUCAUCACUGUUGCGAUCCAUUGCCUUCUUUUUUCACUUGGAGUCUUUCUCUGCUAAAGCCAAGGCGAAGUUCGGCUCCCGUGGAAGUCCGAACGGAGAAUCCCUCUCGAAGUUGGAGUUAUGGGCGGAGCCCGGCUCCUGUAGGAGUCCGGGCGGAGC
rnacentral:lncRNA from 1 species